rnacentral:rRNA from 1 species
AUACGGAGGAUCCGAGCGUUAUCCGGAUUUAUUGGGUUUAAAGGGAGCGUAGGUGGAUUGUUAAGUCAGUUGUGAAAGUUUGCGGCUCAACCGUAAAAUUGCAGUUGAAACUGGCAGUCUUGAGUACAGUAGAGGUGGGCGGAAUUCGUGGUGUAGCGGUGAAAUGCUUAGAUAUCACGAAGAACUCCGAUUGCGAAGGCAGCUCACUGGACUGCAGCUGACACUGAUGCUCGAAAGUGUGGGUAUCAAACAGGAUUAGAUACCCUGGUAGUCCACACAGUAAACGAUGAAUACUCGCUGUUUGCGAUAUACAGUAAGCGGCCAAGCGAAAGCAUUAAGUAUUCCACCUGGGGAGUACGCCGGCAACGGUGAAACUCAAAUGAAUUGGCGGGG